GCAAGUUUAACAAGUGCAGAAAAGGAAUUCUCUGCAGGGACAGCUUAGCAUGCAAAGAUUUUCCAGAUGACAUACAGACCCAUUUCCUUCUCUUGCAUCAUGCAGCCUCUAAAGUAUAUGCUUUCACCUAGAACAAGUGACUCCUUUUUUCACUGCUUGAGAACAGAUGAUAUUUCAAAAGAGCUUGUUGCAAUGCAACCCGCAGAAUGUUGGAGAGGCUCUUUGGCUUCAGUAAAAGGUUGCAUUGGCCAAAAAAAAAAUGCUACCAUUGCCAGGGUCCAGUCCAUCAGUCCCAAAUAUCCAAUAUGCAUGGUCCAGGAGAAGAGCAGAGGAGCUGGAUGAACAGCUGGAAGUGAGCAGGGGACAAGAAGAAAAAGGAAAACGUGUGACAUUGUUCUGUAUAGAAUCGGGUUAAUUAUGUGCAUAAUAAAUACUCUCUUUAAUAUUUUAUUUUACCUUUGAUGAAUCUUGGGUGGGAGAGGGGCUGUUUCCUGAUUUCUCAGGUCCACUGAAUAACAUUUGCCCUGACCAGUUAAACUAACCUGAAAAUGGUCUUUAUUUAUGUGUGUUUCACUGCCCAUCAUAACUUAAGCAGAGGGUCCUUCACUCUGUUCUUUACAUAAUUGUUUUGUCCCUAUAAACUUUGCAACAUGUGAAGCAUGCCUUUCCCCCUGUUGAGCCCCUUAGCCACAUUUUUCCAGUCUCUAUUAUUUUCCCUUCCUUCCAGCUCUUCUCUUUUGCUCCAGUGUGUGCCAAAUGGUCCCAAUUUAUUUGAAACCUGAAUCCAAGAACUGUUACCAUGCAGAGUUUAUUUUAUUCUAAGGAUAAAAUCUAGGUGCAUCUCAUGCAAGCAUUCUGAAAAACAUAGAUGGUUCUUUUUUAGUCAUGUGGAAUAAUUGCUCUGCUAUAUCAUCUAUGAUCAUUUCAGCCACCUCAUUAUGCCAUCUAAGCUGUACUUCCAUUUAAUUGAAUUGCUAGUUACAACAGCCACUUAAUUUCACCAUAAUAUUUUAAUACUCAUAUUAUAAAUCUCAACAGAACAUUGUUCCAAAUCAUAAAUUGGUAUUAUCGGCUGUCUGCUGCCAUCUGUGAUCUGAGGAGGCAGAAAGGGCAUGAGUAGUAAGAGACCAGAACUCAAAAUGAUCCAAUCUUUUAUGUCUUUUUGGUGCUUACCAUUAAUUAUAUCUGGCCAUAAAACACUUGGUCUAGUUCUUCUUGCUGCAUACUAGAGAGAGAGUCAAGGCUUAACCUACCAAGGUGGAAAUGAGGAACAUAAAUGACUGAAAUAGAUAAAUGACUUGCGUGAGAGGCAUAAGAAAAACAGAGAGGCAAAGAUCAAAAUGGUGAACUGGUUUCCUUUCCUGCCCUGCUUUCUGUCCUUUUGUGUGUUAAUUAUUUUAGCAUUAAGCAAUCCCUUGGGUCUGCUGCAUUUUCUCUAGGAUUCAGACCUUUCGGAACCUUCUUGUACCAACAGUUUUCAAAUGUAUGAACUAUGUAAGUUUGGGAAAUAUGGGGUACAAGAAGUUUUUGACCCAAGAGUCAAACAGUGGCAGUUGCUAUAAAAUUUCUGCAGAACAUUUCAGUUGAUAUGAACUGGCACCAACUCCAGCAUCACAGUAAAUGAAAGACAUAUUUUCACAUUACAUCUGUCUCAUGUGCUGUUAAGUAGGAAUAAAUACAUACAGCUUAACCUUUCACAGAAAU